UGAGUUUUAUCUGGCUCAGAGUGAACGCUGGCGGUAGGCCUAACACAUGCAAGUCGAACGGCAGCACAGGAGAGCUUGCUCUCUGGGUGGCGAGUGGCGGACGGGUGAGGAAUACAUCGGAAUCUACUUUUUCGUGGGGGAUAACGUAGGGAAACUUACGCUAAUACCGCAUACGACCUACGGGUGAAAGCAGGGGAUCUUCGGACCUUGCGCGAUUGAAUGAGCCGAUGUCGGAUUAGCUAGUUGGCGGGGUAAAGGCCCACCAAGGCGACGAUCCGUAGCUGGUCUGAGAGGAUGAUCAGCCACACUGGAACUGAGACACGGUCCAGACUCCUACGGGAGGCAGCAGUGGGGAAUAUUGGACAAUGGGCGCAAGCCUGAUCCAGCCAUACCGCGUGGGUGAAGAAGGCCUUCGGGUUGUAAAGCCCUUUUGUUGGGAAAGAAAUCCAGCUGGUUAAUACCCGGUUGGGAUGACGGUAGCGUUACUCGGAAUUACUGGGCGUAAAGCG
rnacentral:rRNA from 1 species